rnacentral:rRNA from 1 species
CAGCAGCCGCGGUAAUACGGAGGAUCCAAGCGUUAUCCGGAAUCAUUGGGUUUAAAGGGUCCGUAGGCGGUCUUGUAAGUCAGUGGUGAAAGCCCAUCGCUCAACGGUGGAACGGCCAUUGAUACUGCAGGACUUGAAUUAUUGGGAAGUAACUAGAAUAUGUAGUGUAGCGGUGAAAUGCUUAGAGAUUACAUGGAAUACCAAUUGCGAAGGCAGGUUACUACCAAUUGAUUGACGCUGAUGGACGAAAGCGUGGGUAGCGAACAGGAUUAGAUACCCGCGUAGUCCCUGUCUCUUAUAU